rnacentral:rRNA from 1 species
GAUGAACGCUAGCGGGAGGCCUAACACAUGCAAGCCGAGCGGUAUUUGUUCUUCGGAACAGAGAGAGCGGCGCACGGGUGCGGAACACGUGUGCAACCUGCCUUUAUCUGGGGGAUAGCCUUUCGAAAGGAAGAUUAAUACCCCAUAAUAUAUUGAGUGGCAUCAUUUGAUAUUGAAAACUCCGGUGGAUAGAGAUGGGCACGCGCAAGAUUAGAUAGUUGGUGAGGUAACGGCUCACCAAGUCAAUGAUCUUUAGGGGGCCUGAGAGGGUGAUCCCCCACACUGGUACUGAGACACGGACCAGACUCCUACGGGAGGCAGCAGUGAGGAAUAUUGGACAAUGGGUUAGCGCCUGAUCCAGCCAUCCCGCGUGAAGGACGACGGCCCUAUGGGUUGUAAACUUGUUUUGUAUAGGGAUAAACCUACUCUCGUGAGAGUAGCUGAAGGUACUAUACGAAUAAGCACCGGCUAGCUCCGUG